CCUACGGGAGGCAGCAGUGGGGAAUAUUGCACAAUGGGGGAAACCCUGAUGCAGCGACGCCGCGUGAGUGAAGAAGUCAUUCGGUACGUAAAGCUCUAUCAGCAGGGAAGAAAAUGACGGUACCUGAGUAACAAGCCCCGGCUAACUACGUGCCAGCAGCAGCGGUAAUACGGAGGGUGCCAGCGUUAUCCGGAUUUACUGGGUGUAAAGGGAGCGCAGGCGGUAGGGCAAGCCUGUGGUGAAAGCCCGCGGCCCAACCGCGGGACUGCAUUGGAAACUACCGGGCUGGAGUGCCGGAGAGGUAGGCGGAAUUCCUGGUGUAGCGGUGAAAUGCGUAGAUAUUAGGAGGAACACCAGUGGCGAAGGCGGCCUACUGGACGGUAACUGACGCUGAGGCUCGAAAGCGUGGGGAGCAAACAGGAUUAGAUACCCCUGUAGUC
rnacentral:rRNA from 1 species